AUACGGAGGGUGCGAGCGUUAAUCGGAAUUACUGGGCGUAAAGCGUACGUAGGCGGUUGGUUAAGUUAGAUGUGAAAGCCCCGGGCUUAACCUGGGAACUGCAUUUAAAACUGGCGAACUAGAGUUGAGUAGAGGGGAGUGGAAUUUCAGGUGUAGCGGUGAAAUGCGUAGAGAUCUGAAGGAACACCAGUGGCGAAGGCGACUCCCUGGACUCAAACUGACGCUGAGGUACGAAAGCGUGGGUAGCAAACAGGAUUAGAAACCCCAGUAGUCC
rnacentral:rRNA from 1 species